UUGUUAGAUUUUUAUUGGAAAACUGACGCAACAGACAGUGUGGAGGCUGGCAAGUCUCAGAGUAUUCUCUGCAUCAAAUUGGUAACCCCAGAUCAGAUUUGUUGAAAUCAGUCAAACUGAACAAUUAGAGGUAAAAACAAAUUUAUUUUUUGCUCGUUUUGGUUCUUUAUAAUCAUAAAUUGCACCCAGUUACAAAUUAAUCUUCACAUGCAUAAAGGGCUUCGGGUUUGGUUUGGGUUCGGCCAUCACUCACUUCUCUCCUUUCUUCCUUUCUCCCUCCCUCUCCGAUCUGUCCUCUUCACCGCCGUCACACACACACACACAUAUAUAUCAAACCCUUUCAAAACGUUGUUGUCGUCACACCAUCAUCAUCUCUAUAUAUAUCCAUGGUAUGAUUGUUAGUCAUUUGGUCAAUAGAGUGCUGACACGUAGACGAUGUUUCAUAUUUUUUUUUCAAGAUUGUAUGCUUAGAAUACAGGAUUGGGACCAUGGUACGAUUGUUGCAAGUCAGUAUCCAUCAUCUAAUGAUGUUAACCAAAGUGAAGAAAGCGAAAAGUGGUCUAAUGGUCUAAUGAUGGAUAGAAAAUGGAUAGUAAGAAAGGGAUAGAAAAGCGAAAGCGAAGAGAGUCUUCGGUGAGAACCGGCAUGGCGGCGGAUCGAUGGUCGCCGAUGAGCUUGUAGGCGACGAUUGAUGCAGAGCAUUGGUGGGACGCGCUUGCUGUCGGCGAACAAGAAAAGAGUAAUGCAUUGAUUUGUAGAUCAUGGGUGGAUCUCUUACAAAACUAACAUCGUUAAGGGCCGAUUAUUAGAAUUCGCCUCGUUAAUCAAGUAAACUUUCUCCAUCUUUUGCUGUAAUGGGUCAGUAAAAUUCCACGUAAUUACAUUUUGGGACAAUUACAUAUAUUAGUACAUUUUUGAAAAUAAUUACAAAAAUCAUACGGUUAUAAAAUAAUUAUAAAAAUACUACAUUUUAUCAUUUUUAUUUUUGAACCUAAUAUAAUUAAAAAUCCUUAAAUUAAGGGAUUAGUAUUAAUGGGUAGUAAAUUAAUUUUCAUCUUCCUUAAAUCUCUCUAUCCGCCCUUACUAUUUCUCUCUCUUCUCUCUUACUACUUCUCUCUCUCCUCUCGAAGCAUCUCGUCGUCAUCUUCUUACGCCGUCGUCGCCGUCGCAACACCAGUCUCUCAACUCGUCGUCGUCCUCUUCUUCAUCUACUGGUAUUUCUUCAUUUACUGAUAUUUUUUCAUUCUAAUAUUUCUUCAUCUACUGAUAUUUCUUCUUCUUUUUGUAUUGAUAUUUCUACUGGUAUUUCUUCUUUUUCUUCAUCUUCAUCAUUAAUUAAUUAGUCUUAUUUUUUUCUAUUAAUUAGGGCUAAUAUUUUUAUUUAUUUAUUUUUUCUUUUCUGUACUGAUAUUUCUACUAAUAUUUUAUUUUUUUUCUACUGAUUAGUCUUCUUUUUUUGAUGGCGUAAAUUAAUUAGUUAAUUAUUUUUUAAUUUACUUUUGUUGCACUUGUUGAUUCACAGGUUGUUCAUUUUAGUAAAAAAAAGGUUUUGGAUCAAAAAGCAUACAUGUUGUUCUAUUAUCAUAUAAUUUUUAAAGGUGUGUUAAUUUAAAUUUUGUUAAUGUUACUAUCAUAUAACUGUUUAGUUACUUCUGCAUUAUAUUUUGGUUACUGUUAAUUUGUGAUUCGGAUAUCAUUUUUGUUACCUUGAUUUGGUAUUUUGGUUAUUUUUUUAUGUUGUUAUGGUUACCAUGUAUUUGCUUAGUAUACAUGGUUGACUAAACUGGUUUUGGUGUACAUGUUAUUUAUGUAUUGGUUACUAUUAUUAUAUGUUUUGGUUACUAACAUAUAACUGUUUGAUUUUUUCAUUAGUAUAUUUUUUAUUACUGUUACCUUAUGAUUUGGAUACAAUUCUUUUUCUCUCAAUUGGAAUUUUGGUUACUUUUAUAUGUUGGUUUGGUUAUAAUGUAUUUGCUUAGUAUACAUUGGUUGACUAAACUUGGUUUGGUCUACAUGUUGUUUAUGUGUUGGUUACCAUUAAAACAUGGUUUGGUUACUAGCAUAUAACUGUUUGGUUACUGCAUUAGUAUAUUUUUUGUUACUGUUAGCUUAUGAUUUGGAUACCAUUCUUUUUCUCUCAAUUGGAAUUUUGGUUACUUCUAUAUGUUGUUUUGGUUAUAAUGUAUUUGCUUAGUAUACAUUGAUUGACUAAACUGAGUUUGGACUACAUGUUGUUUAGUAUACUAGACUAAUUUAUGGGGGCUUGAUGUAAUGCUUACGUUGUAGAUACGUCAAGCAAUAAAAAAUAGAUACUAUCAUAUAUCUGUUUGGUUACUUCUGCAUUAUAUUUUGGUUACUAUUAGCUUGAGAUUUAGAUACCAUGUUUGUUACCUUGAUUUGGUAUUUUGGUUACUUUUUUAUGUUGUUAUGGUUUUCAUUUAUUUGCUUAGUAUACAUGGUUGACUAAACUGAUUUUGGUGUACAUGUUGUUUAUGUAUUGGUUACCAUUAAAAUAUGUUUUGGUUACUAUCAUAUAAAUAUUUGGUUACUUAUUUAGUAUGUUUUUAGUUACUGUUAGUUUCUGAUUUGGAUUCUAUUUUUGUUUCCUUGAGUUGGGAUUUUGUUUACUGUUUUUUGUUGUUCUGGUUACAAUAUAUUUGCUUAAUAUAUAGGUUGACUAAACUUUGUUUGGUCUAUAUGUUGUUUAUGUAUUGUUUACCAUUAAUAUAUGUUUUGGUUACUAACAUAUAACUGUUUGGUUACUUCAUUAGUAUAUUUUUUGUUACUGUUAGCUUAUGAUUUGGAUACCAUUUUUUUUUCCUCAAUUGAGAUUUUGGUUACUUUUAUAUGUUGUUUUGGUUACAAUGUAUUUGUUUGGUAAACUGUUUAUGAUAUAAAUAUUAUUUAUAUCUGGUUACUAAUGACUGUGUAAAUCUGAUUUUUUUUAUUUGCAGUUAUGAAAUCUUUACUAUGGGGAAUGCAAUAGAAAAAUCAUUGGAAAAGUUAUAUAUUGGUGUGACAUGGAAGUCCCCGACAUUAUUACCAAGAAAUUGAACCCAAGACAGUUGAAGAAGUUUAAGGCAUCAUUAGUUUGUAGAUGUAUUAUUUUUAUAAAUAAUAAACCCAAGUCAUAAUAAAUCAUGUAUUUGCUGGUGAACUGCAUGGUUUUUUGGUCGAAUUUCAUCAUUUAGGCAUUCAAAUUUGCAUGUAAAAAUGAAAUUAGGCUCUGAAAACGCCAAAACUCGACACUCCAAACUUGAC
rnacentral:lncRNA from 1 species